GUGAGGAAUAUUGGUCAAUGGGCGAGAGCCUGAACCAGCCAAGUCGCGUGAAGGAUGAAGGUUUUAUGAAUUGUAAACUUCUUUUGCAGGGGAAUAAAGUACGGUACGUGUACCGUUUUGUAUGUACUCUGCGAAUAAGGAUCGGCUAACUCCGUGCCAGCAGCCGCGGUAAUACGGAGGAUCCAAGCGUUAUCCGGAUUUAUUGGGUUUAAAGGGUGCGUAGGUGGAUUGAUAAGUCAGCGGUGAAAGUUUGCAGCUUAACUGUAAAAUUGCCGUUGAAACUGUCGGUCUUGAGUGCAAAUGAGGUAGGCGGAAUGUGUUGUGUAGCGGUGAAAUGCUUAGAUAUAACACAGAACUCCGAUUGCGAAGGCAGCUUACUGGGAUGCAACUGACACUGAUGCACGAAAGCGUGGGUAUCAAACAGGAUUAGAAACCCCUGUAGUCC
rnacentral:rRNA from 1 species